rnacentral:rRNA from 1 species
AUUGAACGCUGGCGGCAUGCCUUACACAUGCAAGUCGAACGGCAGCACGGGAGCAAUCCUGGUGGCGUGUGGCGAACGGGUGAGUAAUGUAUCGGAACGUGCCCAGUCGGGGGGGAUAACGCAGCGAAAGCUGUGCUAAUACCGCAUACGAUCUAUGGAUGACAGCGGGGGAUAGCAACACCUCGCGCCAUUGGAGCCGCCGAGAUCAGAUUAGGUGUUUGGUGAGGUAAAGGCCCACCAAGCCGUCGAUCUGUAGCUGGUCUGAGAGGACGACCAGCCACACUGGAACUGAAACACGGUCCAGACUCCUACGGGAGGCAGCAGUGGGGAAUUUUGGAAAAUGGGCGCAAGCCUGAUCAAGCAAUGCCGCGUGCAGGAUGAAGGACUUCGGGUUGUAAACUGCUUUUGUACGGAACGAAACGGCUCUCUCUAAUACAGGGGGCUAAUGACGGUACCGUAAGAAUAAGCACCGGCUAACUACGUGCCAGCAGCCGCAGUAA